UACAGAGGUCUCAAGCGUUGUUCGGAUUCAUUGGGCGUAAAGGGUGUGUAGGUGGCGCGCUAAGUCGGGUGUGAAAUUUCGGAGCUUAACUCCGAAACUGCAUUUGAUACUGGCGUGCUUGAGGACUGGAGAGGAGACUGGAAUUCCUGGUGUAGCGGUGAAAUGCGCAGAUAUCAGGAGGAACACCGGUGGCGAAGGCGGAUCUCUGGGCCAUUACUGACGCUGAGGAGCGAAAGCGUGGGGAGCGAACAGG
rnacentral:rRNA from 1 species